GAUGAAGAACGUAGCGAAAUGCGAUAACUAAUGUGAAUUGCAGAAUUCAGUGAAUCAUCGAGUCUUUGAACGCACAUUGCGCCCCCUGGUAUUCCGGGGGGCAUGCCUGUCCGAGCGUCAUUGCUGCCCUCAAGCACGGCUUGUGUGUUGGGCUCCGUCCCCCCGGGGACGGGCCCGAAAGGCAGCGGCGGCACCGAGUCCGGUCCUCGAGCGUAUGGGGCUUUGUCACCCGCUCUGUAGGCCCGGCCGGCGCCAGCCGACAACCCAUCAUCCUUUUCAGGUUGACCUCGGAUCAGGUAGGGAUACCCGCUGAACUUAAGCAUAUCAAUAAGCGCAGGA
rnacentral:misc_RNA from 1 species